UACGUAGGGUGCGAGCGUUGUCCGGAAUUACUGGGCGUAAAGAGCUCGUAGGUGGUUUGUCGCGUUGUUCGUGAAAACUCACAACUCAAUUGUGGGCGUGCGGGCGAUACGGGCAGACUGGAGUACUGCAGGGGGAGACUGGAAUUCCUGGUGUAGCGGUGGAAUGCACAGAUAUCAGGAGGAACACCGGUGGCGAAGGCGGGGUCUCUGGGGCAGUAACUGCGU
rnacentral:rRNA from 1 species